AAAAAACACUUAAUAUUAAUUUAUCAAUCUAAGUUUAAAAAAAAAACUUUCAACAACGGAUCUCUUGGUUCUCGCAUCGAUGAAGAACGCAGCGAAUUGCGAUACGUAAUAUGACUUGCAGACGUGAAUCAUUGAAUUUUUGAACGCACAUUGCGCCUUAAGGUAUUCCUCAAGGCAUGCGUGGAUGAGCGAUAUUUACUCUCAAACUUCUAGUUUGGUCUUGUAACCUAAAUAUCAAAUGGCUGUAGAAUAAGUUUACACCAACUACUC
rnacentral:misc_RNA from 1 species